CGCUGGCGGCGUGCCUAAUACAUGCAAGUCGAGCGGACAGAUGGGAGCUUGCUCCCUGAAGUCAGCGGCGGACGGGUGAGUAACACGUGGGCAACCUGCCUGUAAGACUGGGAUAACUCCGGGAAACCGGGGCUAAUACCGGAUAAUUCUUUCCCUCACAUGAGGGAAAGCUGAAAGAUGGUUUCGGCUAUCACUUACAGAUGGGCCCGCGGCGCAUUAGCUAGUUGGUGAGGUAACGGCUCACCAAGGCAACGAUGCGUAGCCGACCUGAGAGGGUGAUCGGCCACACUGGGACUGAGACACGGCCCAGACUCCUACGGGAGGCAGCAGUAGGGAAUCUUCCGCAAUGGACGAAAGUCUGACGGAGCAACGCCGCGUGAGUGAUGAAGGUUUUCGGAUCGUAAAACUCUGUUGUUAGGGAAGAACAAGUACCGGAGUAACUGCCGGUACCUUGACGGUACCUAACCAGAAAGCCACGGCUAACUACGUGCCAGCAGCCGCGGUAAUACGUAGGUGGCAAGCGUUGUCCGGAAUUAUUGGGCGUAAAGCGCGCGCAGGCGGUUCCUUAAGUCUGAUGUGAAAGCCCCCGGCUCAACCGGGGAGGGUCAUUGGAAACUGGGGAACUUGAGUGCAGAAAAGAAGAGUGGAAUUCCACGUGUAGCGGUGAAAUGCGUAGAGAUGUGGAGGAAC
rnacentral:rRNA from 1 species